GAAAUGCGAUAAGUAGUGUGAAUUGCAGAAUUCAGUGAAUCAUCGAAUCUUUGAACGCACAUUGCGCCCUUUGGUAUUCCUUAGGGCAUGCCUGUUCGAGCGUCAUCUAACCCUUCAAGCACUGCUUGGUGUUGGGCGUCUGUCCCCCUCCCGGGACUCGCCUCGAAAUCAUUGGCGGCCCGUGUAUUGGCUUCGAGCGCAGCAGACUCGCGCCUCGUCCCCUCUCCACGCGGGCGUCCAGCAAGCGAACCCCCCCAAGUUUGACCUCGGAUCAGGUAGGGAUACCCGCUGAACUUAA
rnacentral:misc_RNA from 1 species